AGAGGGUGCGAGCGUUAAUCGGAAUUACUGGGCGUAAAGCGUACGUAGGCGGAUAUUUAAGUCGAUUGUGAAAGCCCCGGGCUUAACCUGGGAACUGCAGUCGAUACUGGAUAUCUAGAGUAUGGGAGAGGAAAGUGGAAUUCCCGGUGUAGCGGUGAAAUGCAUAGAUAUCGGGAGGAACAUCAGUGGCGAAGGCGGCUUUCUGGCCCAAUACUGACGCUGAGGUACGAAAGCGUGGGUAGCAAACAGGAUUAGAUACCCUGGUAGUCCACGCCGUAAACGAUGAGAACUAGGCGAUGGGAGGCUUGACCUCUUGGUGCCGUAGCUAACGCAUUAAGUUCUCCGCCUGGGGAGUACGGCCGCAAGGCUA
rnacentral:rRNA from 1 species